UACGAAGGGGGCUAGCGUUGUUCGGAAUCACUGGGCGUAAAGCGCACGCAGGCGGAUCGAUAAGUCGGGGGUGAAAGCCCGGGGCUCAACCUCGGAAUUGCCUUCGAUACUGUCGGUCUCGAGUCCGGGAGAGGUGAGUGGAAUUCCUAGUGUAGAGGUGAAAUUCGUAGAUAUUAGGAAGAACACCAGUGGCGAAGGCGGCUCACUGGCCCGGUACUGACGCUCAGGUGCGAAAGCGUGGGGAGCGAAAGGG
rnacentral:rRNA from 1 species